CUGACACAGGUGCUGCAUGGCUGUCGUCAGCUCGUGUCGUGAGAUGUUGGGUUAAGUCCGUAACGAGCGCAACCCUGUCCUUAGUUACCAGCACGUUAUGUGGGCACUCUAAGGAGACUGCCGGUGGACAAACCGGAGGAAGGUGGGGAGUGACGUCAAGUCAUCAUGGCCCUUACGGCCUGGGCUACACACGUGCUACAAUGGUCGGUACAAAGGGUUGCCAAGCCGCGAGGUGGAGCUAAUCCCAUAAAACCGAUCGUAGUCCGGAUCGCAGUCUGCAACUCGACUGCGUGAAGUCGGAAUCGCUAGUAAUCGUGAAUCAGAAUGUCACGGUGAAUACGUUCCCGGGCCUU
rnacentral:rRNA from 1 species